rnacentral:rRNA from 1 species
UACGGGGGGGGCAAGCGUUGUUCGGAAUUACUGGGCGUAAAGGGCUCGUAGGCGGCCAACUAAGUCGGACGUGAAAUCCCCAGGCCCAACCUGGGAACUGCGUCUGAUACUGGAUGGCUUGAAUUCGGGAGAGGGAUGCAGAAUUCCAGGUGUAGCGGUGAAAUGCGUAGAUAUCUGGAGGAAUACCGGUGGCGAAGGCGGCAUCCUGGACCGACAUUGACGCUGAGGAGCGAAAGCUAGGGGAGCAAACGGG